GCAGCAAAGAUGAUGGAUCACAGU
rnacentral:siRNA from 1 species